AGCGAACGCUGGCGGCAGGCUUAACACAUGCAAGUCGAGCGGGCCCUUCGGGGUCAGCGGCGGACGGGUGAGUAACGCGUGGGAACGUGCCCUCUGGUCUGGAAUAACCCUGGGAAACUAGGGCUAAUACCGGAUACGCCCUUUUGGGGAAAGGCUUGCUGCCGGAGGAUCGGCCCGCGUCUGAUUAGCUAGUUGGUGGGGUAACGGCCUACCAAGGCGACGAUCAGUAGCUGGUCUGAGAGGAUGAUCAGCCACACUGGGACUGAGACACGGCCCAGACUCCUACGGGAGGCAGCAGUGGGGAAUAUUGGACAAUGGGCGCAAGCCUGAUCCAGCCAUGCCGCGUGAGUGAUGAAGGCCUUAGGGUUGUAAAGCUCCUUUAUCCGGGACGAUAAUGACGGUACCGGAGGAAUGAGCCCCGGCUAACUUCGUGCCAGCAGCCGCCGUAA
rnacentral:rRNA from 1 species